UUAUAAAAUGGCUUUGCUUCUCCGUCUUCUUCCUCACACACUUAACAGUUUCAGAAAGAGGGUUCAGGUUGUGCUCUCUUGUUCAUCUCUUGUUCUCUCUCUCUCUCUUUUCUUUCUUCUGAUCUCGUUUUCUCUCCCUCUUUUCAAUGACAACCGCCGGUUCACUCAUAUGGAACCCGCCAUAAACGGCGUCGUUCGCACAUUCAAAUCCGUUCAAAAUAACCACCGUUCCGACACGCCAGAUCGUAACCGUCCAUUUCGGAGAUCACGCGUCCCAACAAAGCCAUCAUAACGGAGCUAGAUUCGUCAAGCGAGGACGGAGAUGAGAACGAUUUCUGGGAAUUGGUGCAGAAAGGGGACAGCGAAUUAGAGCCGUCGAUCUUGGACCAACGAGAUGAGGCCACGUCAGACAAUUGGGUGCAGCGCAACUCUACCAUGGUCCGCCUCAACUCCGAGCCGCCACUUACUCGGCUCAUGCACUCCGGCUCCACUCCACUCCACUACGUUCGCAACCACGGCCCGGUCCCCAAAGGAAAUUAGUGGGAGACCUGGACCGUCGAAGUAACCGGACUCGUCAACAAACCGACCCGGUUCACCAUGGACCACCGAGUUCCCGAACCGGGAAAUACCAGUCACUCUAGUCUGCGCCGGUAACAGACGGAAGGAGCAGAACAUGGUGACACAGACAAUCGGUUCCAACUGGGGAGCCGCGGGGGUCUCCACUUCGGUGUGGCGCGGUGUACCGCUACGCCAUGUGCUGAAGCGGUGUGGGAUCUACAGCCGUACACGUGGAGCCCUUAAUGUGUGUUUCGAAGCGGUGUGGCGCGGUGACUGUUACUAUCAUGAUAAUAGAGUGCUCCCUUCGCACGUUGACGCUGAGUUAGCUACCUCCCAAGGUUGUGUGUCACUUACUCACUUGGGGUUCCAGAUUUGUCGUUUAUUAAUACCCCUUUGCACAUAGCUGCAUCUUAUGGUAACAUCCAAUUUGCCCUAGAGCUAAUGAAUUUAAAACCUUCAUUUGCUCGGAAACUAAAUCCAAACGGUUUUAGUCCCAUUCACCUUGCUCUACAAAAUGGGCAUAUUGAGUUGGUGCGUCAGCUUCUACAACUUGAUGGGGACCUUGUUCGUGUCAAAGGAAGGGAGCGGCUAACUCCUUUACAUUACGUAGUAGGAAGUGGUGAGCACCUUGAUCUAUUGGAAGAAUUUUUAUUGGUCUGUCCUAAUUCUGUUAUAGAUGUGACAGUGCGAAACGAGACAGCUUUGCAUAUUGCCCUUAAAAAUGACAAGCUCGGGGCGUUUGAAUUCUUAGUAACAUGGCUUGGAGUAAUUGUUUAUAAAAAUGCUAAAUUGUAUCAAAGAACAGUCUUGAACUGGAAGGACAACGAAGGCAAUACUGUGUUGCACAUUGCAGUAUCAAAAAAUAAAACUCAGGCAAACUCUCUCUCCAUUAACGUCUACUAAGAAUUAUAUUAUCAAAAAGGAAAACAUCUACUAGGUCUUGGGGUUCCAGACCAAGGAUAGACCUAGUAGAUGUUUUCCUUUUUGCUAAUAUAAUACUUAGUAGACGUUAAUGGAGAGAGAGCUUGCCUGAGUUUGAUUUUUUGCUACUGCAAUGUGCAACACAGUAUUGCCGUCGUUGUCCUUCCAGUUCAAGACUGUUCUUUGAUACAAUUUAGCAUUUUUAUAAAUAAUUACUCCAAGCCAUGUCACUAAGAAUUCAAAUGCCUCGAGCUUGUCAUUUUUAAGGGCAAUAUGCAAAGCUGUCUCGUUUUGCACAGUCACAUCUGUAACAGAAUUAGGGCAGACCAAUAAAAAUUCUUCCUAUAGAUCAAGGUGCUGACCACUUUCUACUACGUAAUGCAAAGGAGUUAGCCGCUCCCUUCCUUUGACACGAACAAGGUCCCCAUCAAGUUGUAGAAGCUGACGCACCAACUCAAUAUGCCCAUUUUGUAGAGCAAAGUGAAUGGGACUAAAACCGUUUGGAUUUAGUUUCCGAGCAAAUGAAGGCUUUAAAUUCAUUAGCUCUAGGCCAAAUUGGAUGUUCCCAUAAGAUGCAGCUAUGUGCAAAGGGGUAUUAAUAAAAAUGGUAGCUCGUCGAUGUUCCCAUAAGAGUCAGGCUAAGUGGUUUGCAAAUUCAAUUAUGGGAGAAGAAAUGACAGAAUCAAAAAAAAAAUCGACCUUGGAGCUGUACGCAUCUGUAAUGUGUGUCAAUUUUUAUUUUCUGUUUCUUUGAUAAUAAAAUUUAGUCUAUGUUUCUUUGUACAUCGUUGUAGUACUUAAUGUAUAUUGCAAUAAAGUAGUGUGAUUGGCUAGCAUUAAUUUUUGAAUUUA